UCCCCCUCUUUCUCUCUUCCACUGGAAGGGCUAAGCUCCCCUUAGCCAGUCAGCCUGCCCUUAUUUAAUUUGGAGUGUGAUUUUGCUAUUUUUAGCUUCUGGAUUCUCUCCAGUAAGAUUUAGAGGAGGCUUUUUUUCUCCUACUUUUUUAAUUCUGCAAAUGAUUUUGACCCAGCUUCCUUCCUCUUGGAACAUUUUUUUAAAUUUAUAUAAAUAAGAGGGGGCCUGUGUGCUUGUACGCUCUUUCUCUCUCUUUUUUUCCACUGCAAGUCUCUCUGCCUUCUGCUUCAGAUCUGCAAUUGCAACCAUCAGCAACCAGAAGGGGGGAUUAUUUUCAUUUCACCACAACACACAAGGAAAAACGUAUACAGAUUCGCGAAUAAGAGUAAUUAACAAGCAGAAUCUUCAAUCCAUAUGUCAAUCUUCCUAUUAGACUGCAAUUUCUGUCAUUCCUGGGCAAGCUGUCUGAAAUUAAAAUUGUACUCCAACACAUCUGGACAGCACCAGAUUGGGGAAACCUUGUUUAUACUCAUAACUCCAAAAAGAGAUUCACAACAUAAUAAAGUUAUCAUCUGUUAUCUUCUCAGAACACAUAUAGCAUAUAUAGGAGAUACUAUUUCUACACGUUCCAGUUUUAAGCAAUCACUCCUUCUAGACAUCAAGAGGAUCCAAAAGUAGAAAUAUAUUCCUACCAGUAGAUGAUGAAUUACAAGUUUGUUUAUUUACUAGAUUUAUAAGGCUGCCUGACUCAAUGUGAUUGUGAUGACACCAAUAGUUUUUCCUUUUACCAUCUGUAUUUUUGUUCUGAUGGAAAUUUGAAUUAAAAGCUUGGAGUGAUAAAAAU